AAAAACGCUAUGUUAUUGUUGUUGUUGUUGGUCUAAGCUUUUCGCUGACUGAAAAUAGCAUACAAGCAUGUGAAGGUAAAGAUGCUCCACCCAACUAGCGCUACAUCAACAAAAUUUUAGAGCCAUUUUCUACCUCUGGCUUUGCAUUAUUCGACGCGACAGGAGGAGACAAUCUGCAAUGGCCAAGUAGGGCUGGCUGGCUACUGCUGCACUGGUGUCGCCCGUGGCCAUGGGUGUCCCUUUCAGGGGAAACCUUGGGAGGAGCUGAGCAGAUUUCGGAUGGAUGGAUCUCGAGGCACAGCGACGCCCAUCACACGCUUUGAGCAUCCAUCCAUCAACCCAUCGGGGAUCGCGCGGCGGCCGCCGGUGAUGAUGCAAGAACAUGUGUGGAGCUGGUGGCCGGUCAUUGGCCUCUUGGUGGACCACCUCCCCAAAUUCUGGUGCCGGGAUCUUUGCGUGCCUCGACUGGUUGCCAGGCCACAACACAACACCUUGAUGCCGUUGAUGAGGCUGCAGCUAGCUAGCAGCGUCAGUGACGAGUGGCCGGUCUAUGAUUGUUGGAUGAUUGAUGGCUGGUAGAUGGUCUCAUGUCCUAUCUGACCCAUCAUCCAUCUGAAAACCUGGAGUGGUGGAUCUGCAACAAGGUACAGUAGUGUACCACCACCACCCCUGAAGACUGAACUUGGUGCAUCUCUCUGCUUAACUGCCAGGAACUCUGCAUCUAUCUAUCUUUUUUUUUUGCCUUUGCAGCCCAACUAUUUUUUGAACUCUAGUGAUGCUGCUGCACUUAAUAAACAAUCAAGUUCUGCUGACAUUACAUAUACAAUCUGUCAAUGGAAGACUGGAAAUGUAGCAUCUAGCAGAAUAGAUAAUUGUUUCCAUCUAUCUGCAUCUAGCUGAGGGCAGUCCAAAA